GCGCCGAUAGCUCAGUUGGAAGAGCAGCGGUCUUUUAAACCUCAGGUCGGGAGUUCGAAUCUCCUUCGGCGCA
rnacentral:tRNA from 1 species